rnacentral:rRNA from 1 species
AUUGAACGCUGGCGGCAGGCCUAACACAUGCAAGUCGAGCGGAUGAAGGGAGCUUGCUCCUGGAUUCAGCGGCGGACGGGUGAGUAAUGCCUAGGAAUCUGCCUGGUAGUGGGGGAUAACGUCCGGAAACGGGCGCUAAUACCGCAUACGUCCUGAGGGAGAAAGUGGGGGAUCUUCGGACCUCACGCUAUCAGAUGAGCCUAGGUCGGAUUAGCUAGUUGGUGGGGUAAAGGCCUACCAAGGCGACGAUCCGUAACUGGUCUGAGAGGAUGACCAGUCACACUGGAACUGAGGCACGGUCCAGACUCCUACGGGAGGCAGCAGUGGGGAAUAUUGGACAAUGGGCGAAAGCCUGAUCCAGCCAUGCCGCGUGUGUGAAGAAGGUCUUCGGAUUGUAAAGCACUUUAAGUUGGGAGGAAGGGCAGUAAGUUAAUACCUUGCUGUUUUGACGUUACCAACAGAAUAAGCACCGGCUAACUUCGUG